rnacentral:rRNA from 1 species
AUUGAACGCUGGCGGCAUGCUUUACACAUGCAAGUCGAACGGUAACAGGGUGCUUGCACCGCUGACGAGUGGCGAACGGGUGAGUAAUGCGUCGGAACGUGCCGAGUAGUGGGGGAUAACGCAUCGAAAGCUGUGCUAAUACCGCAUACGAUCUAUGGAUGAAAGCGGGGGACCGUAAGGCCUCGCGCGAUUGGAGCGGCCGAUGUCAGAUUAGGUAGUUGGUGGGGUAAAGGCCUACCAAGCCGACGAUCUGUAGCGGGUCUGAGAGGACGACCAGCCACACUGGGACUGAGACACGGCCCAGACUCCUACGGGAGGCAGCAGUGGGGAAUUUUGGACAAUGGGCGCAAGCCUGAUCCAGCAAUGCCGCGUGCAGGAAGAAGGCCUUCGGGUUGUAAACUGCUUUUGUACGGAACGAAACGGUCUGGGUUAAUUCCCUGGGCUAAUGACGGUACCGUAAGAAUAAGCACCGGCUAACUACGUGCCAGCCGCCGCCGUAAAAC